GCCCCCGUAGCUCAGCAGGAUAGAGCGUUCGCCUCCUAAGCGAAAGGCCACUGGUUCGAAUCCAGCCGGGGGUG
rnacentral:tRNA from 1 species